GAUGAACGCUGGCGGCGUGCCUAACACAUUCAAGUCGAGCGAUUCUCUUCGGAGAAGAGCGGCGGACGGGUGAGUAACGCGUGGGUAACCUGCCCUGUACACACGGAUAACAUACCGAAAGGUAUGCUAAUAGGAACUAAUAUACUUUUAUCGAAGGGUAGAAGUAUAAAAGCUCCGGCGGUACAGGAUGGACCCGCGUCUGAUUAGCUAGUUGGUAAGGUAACGGCUUACCAAGGCGACGAUCAGUAGCCGACCUGAGAGGGUGAUCGGCCACAUUGGAACUGAGACACGGUCCAAACUCCUACGGGAGGCAGCAGUGGGGAAUAUUGCACAAUGGGCGAAAGCCUGAUGCAGCAACGCCGCGUGAGCGAUGAAGGCCUUCGGGUCGUAAAGCUCUGUCCUCAAGGAAGAUAAUGACGGUACUUGAGGAGGAAGCCCCGGCUAACUACGUGCCAGCAGCCGCCGUAA
rnacentral:rRNA from 1 species